AUUGAACGCUGGCGGCACGCCUAACACAUGCAAGUCGAGCGGAGCGGCGGACGGGUGAUUAACGCCUAGGAAUCUGCCUGCUCGUGGGGGAUAACGUCUGGCAACGGGCGCUAAUACCGCACACUAUCAGACGAGCCUAGGUCUGUUUAGCUAGUUGGGGGGGUAAAGGCCUACCAGGGCGACGAUGCGUACCUGGUCUGAGAGGAUGAUCAGUCAGACUGGAAGUGAGACAGAGUCCAGACUCCUACGGUAGGCAACAGUGGGGAAUAUUGGACAAUGGGCGAAAGCCUGAUCCAGCCAUGCCGCGUGUGUGAAGAAGGUCUUCGGAUUGUAGAGCACUUUAAGUUGGGAGGCGGUACCAAAAGAAUAAGCACCGGCUAACUUCGUGCCAGCAGCCGCGGUAAUUC
rnacentral:rRNA from 1 species